UAAGAAAUAUUUUAUUGCAGAAUAUUUGAUUGUUGAUCAGAAGGUUGAUUUCUUAG
rnacentral:tRNA from 1 species